UGGGUUGUCUCGGGAACUUACCUAAAAGAA
rnacentral:piRNA from 1 species